UAUGGGUACGAAAGGUGAGUUUUCCGGAAGUGUAAAUCCGGAAAUUAACGAACAUAGUCACGUCUUGCCAAUCGAGCUAUAUGAUUGGUUAAGAUAGCGUCGGGUUAUUACGGAAAUUACCGAUCGGACAAGAAAACAGUAUCCGGAUGGUUCGUAUCCGGAUAUGACAGACGACGAAGAUUAAUAAACGAGUAUUGGAAAAACACGACCACAACUUCUAAAAACAUCGAUUCGUCGAUUAAAAGGUAUGUUGAUGGUUCCAAAAGUCAGGGAUGAACAGACACCUCAGCCAGUGCAUCCGGUUGUUCCUGUCAAUGACCGACAAUUCAAUUCAGAUGCCAUGAUUCUUGGAUUUAUGGCUGAACAUGACCUUCCAUACCCCUGGUAGCACAUGUAGUGAGUCUUACUUAAGACACUUGCCAAAGAUACAAAAGCUCUCAGCGAAUUAAAACUUCAAAGGUGUACAGCAUCAUAUAAGAUGACUUCCGGAGAGGCAAGCCAUUUCAAUGAUGAACUUGUUGAGGAGUUAAGUGAUAUUCGGUGUGUGCUACUGGACACCUGUAACAUCAUGAGGAGAAAAAAUCCGGCUUGGAGACCAGAAUACGUCAACUUGUCCCUCACCUCAUAGACAUUGAUGGUGACACAGCCCGCCAUGUCCACAACGGUUACCCUGCCAAAGCAUUUACAGUCCCAUUUGGAUAUUACUAGGAAUUCCGAAUAAUAAUUAGUAUAAUAUAUAAUAAUUAAUAAUAUUAUAUUCUCAUCAAAUGUGCAGAUAAUGGAAUAAAUAUUCUUAUAUCUGAUAUAUAAAAUUUGAAUAAAUAACACUUUACAAUAAACAUUUGCAAGUUUGAUAUUUGA